GCCAAUGCUCUGACUGCCCUAAGGAGUGGACGUGUAGUAGACAAUAAGAUUGGGGAGGGAAACAACAACGAAGGUAAAGAAGAAGAGAGAAAUGUAUCACAUGAAAAUCCAAAACCUUCUUCUUUUUCAGCUAGUCCACCAUCUGCCACAACUCACAUUCUAAAGGUCCCAUUUCCUGAUGCUCUCAAUUCACCCUCUCCCUUUGGCAAAAAAGGACUUCACUAGAGAGAUGAUGGAGGUUUUCAAACAGUCAAAAUCAACCUCCCGCUUCUUGAUGCUAUUAGACAAGUUCCAUCUUAUGCCAAAUUUC
rnacentral:lncRNA from 1 species